rnacentral:rRNA from 1 species
CCCGGGUAAUAAACCGAGGAAGGUGGGGAUGACGUCAAUCAUCAUGCCCCUUAUGACCUGGGCUACACACGUGCUACAAUGGUUGGUACAACGAGUUGCGAGUCGGUGACGGCGAGCUAAUCUCUUAAAGCCAAUCUCAGUUCGGAUUGUAGGCUGCAACUCGCCUACAUGAAGUCGGAAUCGCUAGUAAUCGCGGAUCAGCACGCCCGCGGUCGAAUACGUUCCCGGGCCUU